rnacentral:rRNA from 1 species
AGAGUUUGAUCCUGGCUCAGAACGAACGUUGGCGGCGUGGAUUAGGCAUGCAAGUCGAACGAGAAAGUUUCCUUCGGGAAGCGAGUACAGUGGCGAACGGGAGAGUAACGCGUGGGAAACCUGCCCUUCAGCGGGGGACAACACUUCUAACGAGGUGCUAAUACCGCAUACGAUUCGGAUACCGCAUGGUGCCCGAAUGAAAGAUGGCCUCUACAUGUAAGCUGUCACUGAAGGAUGGUCCCGCGUCCCAUUAGCUUGUUGGUGGGGUAAUGGCCUACCAAGGCGACGAUGGGUAGCCGGCCUGAGAGGGUGUCCGGCCUCACUGGGACUGAGAUACGGCCCAGACUCCUACGGGAGGCAGCAGUCGAGAAGCUUCGGCAAUGGGCGAAAGCCUGACCGAGCGACGCCGCGUGAGCGAUGAAGGCCCUAGGGUCGUAAAGCUCUGUCAGGAGGGAAUAAAUUCCUGCGGUUAAUACCCGUAGGCGCUGAAGGUACCUCCAGAGGAAGCGCCGGCUAACUACGUGCCAGCAGCCGCGGUAAUACGUAGGGCGCAAACGUUGUUCGGAUUAACUGGGUAUAAAGGGUUCGUAGGCUGGCUAUUAAGUCAGAGGUGAAAGCCACCGGCUCAACCGGUGAAUUGCCUCUGAUACUGAUAGUCUUGAGUCCGUUAGGGGGUGGUGGAAUUCCUGGUGUAGCGGUGAAAUGCGUAAAUAUCAGGAGGAACACCAGUGGCGAAGGCGGCCACCUGGGACGGUACUGACGCUGAGGAACGAAAGCAUGGGUAUCAAACGGGAUUAGACUACCCCGGUAGUCCAUGCCGUAAACGAUGGGCACUAGGUGUCGGAGGAGCUUACCCCUUCGGUGCCGCAGCUAACGCAUUAAGUGCCCCACCUGGGGAGUACGAUCGCAAGGUUGAAACUCAAAGGAAUUGACGGGGGCCCGCACAAGCGGUGGAGCAUGUGGUUUAAUUCGAUGCAACGCGAAGAACCUUACCUGGGCUUGACGUGCAGGAGACAGCCGUGGAAACACGGUUUCCUUCGGGUUCCUGCACAGGUGCUGCAUGGCUGUCGUCAGCUCGUGUCGUGAAAUGUUGGGUUAAGUCCCGCAACGAGCGCAACCCUUGUCCUUAGUUGCCAUCAGGUUAUGCUGGGAAACUCUAAGGAGACUGCCGGUGACAAACCGGAGGAAGGUGGGGACGACGUCAAGUCAUCAUGGCCCUUACGUCCAGGGCUACACACGUGCUACAAUGGCCGGUACAAUGAGCUGCAAUACCGCGAGGUGGAGCGAAUCUCAAAAAGCCGGUCUCAGU